GACGAACGCUGGCGGCGUGCUUAACACAUGCAAGUCGAACGGAAAGGCCCUGCUUUUGUGGGGUGCUCGAGUGGCGAACGGGUGAGUAACACGUGAGUAACCUGCCCUUGACUUUGGGAUAACUUCAGGAAACUGGGGCUAAUACCGGAUAGGAGCUCCUGCUGCAUGGUGGGGGUUGGAAAGUUUCGGCGGUUGGGGAUGGACUCGCGGCUUAUUAGCUUGUUGGUGGGGUAGUGGCUUACCAAGGCUUUGACGGGUAGCCGGCCUGAGAGGGUGACCGGCCACAUUGGGACUGAGAUAAGGCCCAGACUCCUACGGGAGGCAGCAGUGGGGAAUAUUGCACAAUGGGCGGAAGACUGAUGCAGCAACGCCGCGUGCGGGAUGACGGCCUUCGGGUUGUAAACCGCUUUCGCCUGUGACGAAGCGUGAGUGACGGUAAUGGGUAAAGAAGCACCGGCUAACUACGUG
rnacentral:rRNA from 1 species